GGGGAUGUUUUGGAUUCGACAGGUAUAGGUCGAGCCUAGAUUGCGUUUGGUAGGUUGCGUCUACCAUAAAACGCUCAGUUAAAUAUAACUGCAAAAAAUAACAAUAACUCUUACGCUUUAGCUGCCUAAUCGGCCUAGCGUAGAUCUGGCUUAGCAUCGUCCAUGUGCUAAACCCAGGUCCUAUAAUUAAGUGGACUACGCUUUAGACUUUCACCUAGAGUUUAAAGAAGAGUAACUUAGGUUAGCCGUUAAUAUUAGCCCUGUCAUAUGGCGCAGUUGGCGGUGAAAUUUAAAUAAUAUGACUAUGAACGUAGAUAUUUAGGUGGCGAUAUGCUUGGACGCGGGUUCGAUCCCCGCCAUCUCCAUC
rnacentral:tmRNA from 1 species